CAUUACCAUUCAAAAAAACUUAGACCCACGGGGGUAUGCUCUCCAAUAGGACAGUCAGUAGAUGUACGGUUCUGCUGGCUGGCAGUCGAACGGAAGGCAGUGUCCAUUUAUGGUCCUGUCUUGGCUAGUAAACUGAUCGAGCUGCCUGUCUGACCCUACCCUUGCUUUUUGCGCACCCAUUGUUUCCUCGGCAGGCUUGCCUGCCAGUAGGACCCCCUUUAAACCUUUUGUAAUUGCAAUCAGCGUCAGAAACAACGUAAUCGUUACAACUUUCAACAACGGAUCUCUUGGUUCUGGCAUCGAUGAAGAACGCAGCGAAAUGCGAUAAGUAGUGUGAAUUGCAGAAUUCAGUGAAUCAUCGAAUCUUUGAACGCACAUUGCGCCCCUUGGUAUUCCAUGGGGCAUGCCUGUUCGAGCGUCAUUUGUACCCUCCAGCCCUGCUGGGUGUUGGGCGUUUUGUUCCGCCGCGCGCGUGAACUCGCCUCAAAUGCAUUGGCAGCCAGCCGUCCCGUGUGAGAGCGCAGCACAUUUUGCGCUCUCCGCUGGGUGCGGCGGCGUCCACAAGCCUAUAACUUUACGCUUGACCUCGGAUCAGGUAGGGAUACCC
rnacentral:rRNA from 1 species